UCCUGAGGAAAUAAUCAAGAGAUGCAGUCAAGGAUUUAUGCACAGAGGAUAUUCGUUGCAGAGCCAUAAUUGAGAAAACUGGCAAGGACUUAGGUGCCUCCCAGGUGGGGCUUGGCUCCGCAAAUCCUCCUACAUCCCUAUGAUGGAACGGGGCUCAUUCGGCUGUGCAGUCAUCCGCUCGGCAAAUAUUUAUUAGGUAACUACUCUGCAUUAGGCACUUGGGCGGGUAAACAAAACAGGUUCCACACUGUAUCACCCCCACUCUCUCACCGCCUGCCAUAAGCAGUUACCGAUUCCGAAGAGUAUCUCGUUCAGCGGCUCUCCCAGGUCGACCUCCUUUUCAAAAGCAGGUCCCGAGGCGCUGGGUAACCUGAUCACGGCGGAAAGCGCCGCGACGCGGAAGUCUUCCGAUUGGUUUCCAGUUCCAGGAAGUUGCAGACUUCGGGCAAAUCGCGUCGCCUCUGGGACUGUUUCUAAUCAGAAGAAUGAAAGAAAAGGCCGAACCAACCCUUCAGGUUGUCUGGGUCUACUGAUUUUUGGCCCGGGGACGGAGCCAUUCGUGCGUGGGGGAGUCCUAACCCGCGCUGGAGGGAGGGAAGGCGGUGGAGCCCCUCCAGGGUGUCUGCGUUUGUCAUGGAGAGCCCUAGAACACAAAGAAGCCAUGGACCACCUAGACUGGAGGGUGAAGGCGUCCGCACACAGCCGGGCUUCGGGGCGUGGGGUGGGGGCCGCAAGCUCAGAGCUCCCCCGCGCUCAGCUUUCCACCCCACGCAGCGACGCCAGCCCCACGGCGUCCUUGGCCUGAGUUGCUCCUUAGUAUUAACACCUAACCGCUAACAGUCACGGGCGCUUCCAGGUGCAACACAUUGUGUAGGCGAUUUGGUCACCUCUCCCUCGCGCAGGGAAAGUAUGAGGUCUGUGCUGCUACUCGCAUACUUCCUAAGGCAAAACAGGCUUCGGACGGUUACAAGAUUUAUACGAAGUCACGUGGCUAGCCCCUGGGCCUGAGCGCUUCACCUCGUUACAGGACAGGACAGUCUUUCUUCCUGAAAGGGCAGUGGGACAGCCUCCCGUUUUAUCCCUCGUUCCAGUUACAGAAGACAAGGAACAGGGGUCGUAAUGGCAGUUAAGGCUUGUUGCUUACCGACUGGGAGCCUGAGAGAACUAAGUCACGAGCAGGGUUGCCACAGUUUGCAAGUGAUCUUAGAACCUACCAGAGCCCUCUGCUUCCAUUUAGAAACUCCCUUUCUCCCCCGCAGCGCCCUUCCCCCCGCCAGGGUGAGGGGUCGGCUCUGAAAUGCGGCGGGGAAGAACAAUAGGCGCCCUGGGCCCGAAGGGCGGAGGGCAAUUUGCAUCUCAGAGGAGCUCCGGUCGGGACGCCGGGUUUGGACUCUGACCCUUGCACUAAAGAUCAGCGCUGGGAAUUUCCUGUGACCUGUUGAGGCUCCACACUCAAUCUAGGCCUGAACUCAUAACUCCGAGAUCAGGAGCUGCAUACUCUACCGCCUCAAUGUGUAUCUUGAGCAUCUCGAACAGUGAGUGUCUGGAAUAUUACGGACACUACAAUAUUUGUUGACUGAAUGAAAAGCAAAGAGAGUGCUAAUUUGAUAUAUUUUUUUAAAAACAU